UAUUGGAAGGAUGUGACUAUUUUUUUUUAAAAAAAAUCGCGACAUUCUUACCUGAAUAAGAGAUAUUCCAUCUAUCAAAUCUAUUUUAGCAGUGGUAUCUUUUUUUUUUUUUGCGGGGUUAGCAGUGGUAUCUUUGACUAAAACCACUCGUGACAAUGACAUAAUAAUGUCCCGCUCCCCGACCAGCGUCCUCACCGCCGACCUCUGCAACGGCGAGGUCGCGUCGCUCCGUCGCCGCCGUUCCCUUCUGCCCCGCCGGCGCCGGGGGUGGACCCGGAUGCAUUCCCCCAAGGACAUCGUCGCCAAGAACACGCUCUGACGAGAUCGAGGUGAGUGGGAACUGGGAAGGCCCCCUCCCAUGGUGAACCCCAACUCCAUGGUGCUCCAGGCCCUCGCGGCGGCGAAUCGAGGAGGAGGCCGAGAAGAAUGAAGAGGAAGGCAGGGCCGCCGCGGCUUCACCACCAAUGCUUCUUCUUCUUCUUGGUCGUCGUCGUCGUCGUCUUGUGUUACGAUGUCCCAGCAAUGACUUCUUAAGCCUAUAGUGCCAUGGAGCAACUAUCGUGUGUAAAUCCUACAAUUAUGAGGUAAUUUAUUUCCCAUGAA